AGUGAGAAAGAUAAAGAAAAGAAUGAAAGAAUUAUGCCCCACAAGCCAAUCGUAUAUGGGAUGCGUUAAGGUGUUUAUUGUAAUUUAUCUUUCAAACUCAUAUAAUUGAUAUUAAUAUUAUUAAUAAAAUUGAUAUUUUUGAUUCAUUAUAUGUUGCAUCUUAUUAAUUUUAAGAUUAUAAUGAACCCCAUAGGUCUGGACAAUAGUUUUAAGGCCGUGAUGAGAUCAUGCCAAUGAGACCCAAAUCUUUGAUAGCCCUGAUCUAAAAUAUUCUUAGU
rnacentral:lncRNA from 1 species